GCUUAACACAUGCAAGUCGAGCGGUAACAUGACUAGUAGCAAUACUAGUUGAUGACGAGCGGCGGACGGGUGAGUAACACGUAGGAACUUGCCCAGUAGGGGGGGACAACCACGGGAAACUUUGGCUAAUACCGCAUAUUCUCGAGAGAGGAAAGCUGCCGCAAGGUGGCGCUGUUGGAGAGGCCUGCGGCCGAUUAGCUAGUUGGUAGGGUAAAAGCCUACCAAGGCGAGGAUCGGUAACUGGUCUUAGAGGACGACCAGUCACACUGGGACUGAGACACGGCCCAGACUCCUACCGGAGGCAGCAGUGGGGAAUCUUGGACAAUGGGGGCAACCCUGAUCCAGCGAUGCCGCGUGAGUGAAGAAGGCCUUCGGGUCGUAAAGCUCUUUAGGCUGGGAAGAAGGUUGGUAGUUUAAGAGAUAAUCAAUUUGACUGUACCAGCAGAAUAAGCACCGGCAAACUCUGUGCCAGCCGCCGCCGUAA
rnacentral:rRNA from 1 species